CAAUUGUAGGGCAUCCAUGGGCCGUGGGGAAUUAAAAAGAUCAAACCAGAGCUACAUUUGCUACUUCUAGUCGAGCUGCACCGUUAUUUCGAUGACGAACUCAUCGGAUCGCCGGCGAGCACUGUGUAUCGGAGAGAAUCACAUUGGCGGAGACUACGCUGGAUGGCAAGUUCUUCAACGCCCGUCAUGAGGACUUUGUGGUUCUUUGGGGGUCCAUCCGAAGACUCUGCAACUAUUCCAUAGUCCUAUCUCUAUCAACCAACUUACGGUCAAGUUCCGUAAUGUGGAUGAAGCCAACAUAGACUUCGUUGACUUGUCGACCUCUCGGAGAUGCUGCCUCAACACUGUGUAGGAGAACCUGAACUGCAUAAAGUUGGAGGAGCCAGAUCGAUCAAGGAUGCCGACUUUAUAUCAAUGAACUGGCAAUUUAGGGGAUGCCUCUCACUAGGGGUUGGGAUGUGUUUCAUACAAAAGGGAAAAUUGAUCGCCUAUGCUUCAAGAUAACUGCUACUUAUUAUUAACAGCAAGAAUCUUUAGUAGGCCUCUCCUGCCAAAGUUGCCUGCGCCUGAAACUGCUAGAAAUCAAUAGCAAGAAGCAUUUGGGGCAGUGACAAGUUUAUUAGAGGCAAUGCUUAUUGCUGUACAGU